rnacentral:lncRNA from 1 species
CUUCCUAGGCCUGCGUUCGCGUCCGCAAACUCCCGCCUCCUUGCGCUCCCCCCGCCCGGGAGCUUCACGUGCGCCUUGGCGGCCGCGGGGGCAGGUCCGGGCUGGACGCCUGGCGGAGGACGCGGGCAGGUGGCUUGUGGGAGGCUGGGGCAUAGUUGAGCUGCAAGGCGCAAACCGAUGAGGGGCGUCUGCUUUUCACCAGGGCGCCGUCGCUUUUGUCGGGAAACCGGCAGCGUAGGCGCGCAGACCGGGAAGCGGCAAGAAGAUUUGGCCACGAGCUGGGGUCUUCCUGGAACGGAGAGAAAGCACGGAACCCGCACCGGGCUUCUCUGGCAUCGGCAGUCUACGUGCUCCUCGCGCUGGCACCGAGCAGCCACUCCCCGCUGGGUUUGGCAAAGGCUGCUCUUGUAGAAUUUUAAAGGAUUUAGAGUCUCAUUAUUCCUUGAAUCAUAACUUCUGCGGCCGUAGGGAAGUGGACAGGUUGAGGUGGUCUUUCUAUUCGUCAUUCACUCUUAUUUGCAGGUUCUGUUUCAUGUACUUGGACGUCUUUUAGCCUCUCACACCUUGAAAUUCUAGUGUGAAAAAGUGACCUCUGAAGUCUCACGCACUCAACUCGUUUGACGAACUCGUUUGACGUGUUCUCUCUUGCCCUUUGUUGUCUGUUGUCUUGAGUCUCAUAGAAUAGGUUUGAACCUUUCACUGUCGGUUUUGUAGGAGUCACUGAGGAUAUUGACGAGGCAAGUGACAGGGUCGACACUCUUGUAGAGAGGCUGUAUAGCAACCAGGUGUCUGAAGGAUUAGAGGCUGGGGAAAGAGUGGGAAAGCAGUUAGUAGGCUAGGGUAUUUGUGCGUGAGGUGAGGAGACUCAGAGCUAGGGGAGACAUUAGAGCAGGGGUUGGCAAACAUUUUUUGUAAAGGGCCCGAUCAUAUUUUAAGUCUCUGCCUUAACUACUCAGCUCUACCUUGUAACGAGAAAGCAGCCAUAGACAAUACUUGAAUGAGUGUAGCUGUCUUCAGUAAAACUAUGGACAUUGAAUUUUUAAUAUAAUUUCAGGUAUGAAAUAUUCUUUUGAUUUUUAAGAAAAUCAUUGAAAUAUGUAAAUUUUUUUUUUUUUAGUUCUGGAGAGGUGCAAAAACAACUUAUAAGCCAUAUUGCUGAGCCCUGCAUUAGAGGUACCUGAGGGAGAGCGACACAAUUGGUAGUAAAUGACCAUAUACUCUAUCCUUCAAUAUGGAACACUUUUGGAAGUAAAGUAGGGCAUUAAUAAUUAUAGCCAGAGACCAGGAGUUAUAUCAGUUUUAUCCCAGGCAAACCUAAAGGAAUAGUCACCUUAAGGUUAAGGGUUAGGAGAAGUCAAAAUUGCUUUAGGACUUGGUAACAGAAAAUGGGAGGUGCCAGUGAUGGAAAUAGGAAGAUAAAGAAGAAACUGGUUUUGAGGAGAAGAUAGCUGUAGCAGUCCCAAGAGCUGUAUACAGUUGAGACAACAUUGAUAGGAAGGAAGAAAGCACCCCAGAAGCAGGCCACUCCUUAUAUCUUAUUGACCAGAACUGGGCUAUUAGCUGUCCCUAAAGCAGUAACAGACAAGGAGCAUGGGACAUCCAUGAUUGCCUAGUGUUUAUCUGGCUUUUUUAAUUCUUAUUCAGGACUGUGUUGAGCAUUGCUGGACAUUUACCAUCUCUGGUUCCUUCCAGCUAAAUGUCAGUACCACACCUCAGGCAUUGUGACACCGUAAAUCAACCGUUUUUCCCUCCCACCCCCCAGAGGUGUGGUACUGGUUGAGAACCAGUAGCUUAGACCCUCAGGAUUUACCUUGGGGCUGAAUUAGUGUGUGUAGGUUUCUUUUCCAGUUGGUUUGGAGGGAAGAGAGGAAUUGGACAGUAUUAAAGUUCUGCUGUCAAGGAAGUGGGCUGGGGAAUGUUGGGUAGCUAACCAACAUUGGCUGCCACGUGAAGUAAAAAAGUUUUCCUUUAUAUCCUUGAUAAAAUAGUGUCUCGACUUCUUCACACUUGAAGCCUUCCCAAAACCCCAGCUUUUUUGAUUCUCAUUGUAAGCCCCUUGAACUGGACUAGUUGGAAGUUCUUAUUUUCCACCCUAAGUAACAAGCUCUUGUCCCAAUAGGAUACUCUUGCUUUGAGUACUGCAAUAACUUUCCAAUUGGUGACUUGCCGUCAGUCUUUUCCUAUUUCAUUCCUACACGAAGAGACUAGAACUGUGUUCUGAUUUCCUUUGCUCAGACACCAAUCUCCAGGGGUGCUCUGUAAUUUGAAGAGGACAACUCAGAAAGCACUCAAGGGCCUCCAUAAGUCCCUGAGUGGCUUCCCUGCCUUCCCGUUCCCCAGCAAACAAUCCCUUGGAUACCCUCUAUUAAAUGAUACGUUUCCCCUUACAAUACCUAGUCCCUUGCCCCAUAUAUGCUAUGUGUAUUGCACAGUCUAGGACUUGACUCAUGCUGUUUCCUCACGGAGCAUGCCCUUCUUAUUUCUAACCAUACAAAUUCCAUGACCUAUCCAUUCUUUCAAUUCUACUUCCACCUGAGGCCUCUAUCAGCCCACAUUAACCUACCUUCUUUGAAUUUCUGUGUGUUCCUUACCUGUACCACCCAUUUUGGCCUUUUAUUUUAUGCUCUUCUUGACUAUUCUGUUAUUGAAACUGUCCUUUAGAUCCCAAGAUUUCUACUUUUUCCCUGCGGAUGCUUUUUUAUUUUUUUUAUUUUUGACUUCUUUCUACCCUCCUUUUCCUCUUACAUCCCUGCUUUGCCUAGAGGACAUCUACAAGAAUCGUCAUGUACAUUCUUUUCUCCUGUUGUUAGCUUUUUUCCCCUGACACUUCAUCUAUUUACUGAUUUACUUGUAAAUCUCUGGAAGAUAUUAGUACUAGCCACCAAAUAUUUCUAUUUCUUUUUCCACACACGUAGAUUUGGAUUUCCCUACUCCUUUUACCUCAAGAAUGGCCAAUGAAAUGUGAUUGGAAGUGACUUGUGUCAUUUCCAAAUAAAAGCUUUAAGAGCCUGUGGACAUUUAUCCUGCGCUGUUUCUUCCUGCCAACAGUGAUGAAAUAUUUUAAUUAUCUAUUGUCCCAUGACAAAGCACCUUAAAUCUUAAUGGUUUAAAACAGUCACCAUUUUAUUAUGUGUAACAGUUUUGUGGGUUGACUAGGCUCAUGGGCAGUUGUCUAAUCUUGCUCAGGGUCUCUCAUGUGGUUCCAGCCUGGUAUUGUUUGGGGCUGGAGUUUUUGGAGGCUCAACUAGGUUGCUAGAGUAGCUGAGCUUUUCUAUUUACCCAUGCCGUUCCAAAGACUCUCUGAUUCACAUGGCUUCUUCAGCAGAGUAGCCUGACUUCUUUCUUGCAUGGUGGCUUAGGAUUCUCAAAUGCAAUAAAAGCAAAAACUUCGAGGUUUUGUAAGUCUUAGGUCUGGAAAUGACAUGUUGUAUUGGUAAAAGCAGUUACAGGGCCAGCUCAAUUUUAAGGGGAGAGGAAAUAAACACUUGAUAGGGGUGGAGGGAGAGUGACAAAGAAUUUGUGGCCAUCUUUAUUACAAAAAUUUUUGUCAACCACAGAGUUACAGGAAAAUGUGGCCAUCUUUAAUCACUACUCCAACGAUGUUUCAAAUUGAGUGGGCUUCCAUCAGCCAGGGUCUCGGAGACAGGACAAAGUGGAAAACAGCUCCCAAAUAACAUACCUAGGUAUAUGAAUAAGAAAUACAUCUCUGCUGUCCUGAGUCACUUAGCUAUUUGGAGUUGUUUGGUAUCAACUUUUGCAUACUAAUAUAAAAAUUGGUACUGGAAAUAGGGUGGUGCUAUAACAAAAAUCUAAAAUAUGAGUCACUGACAUAUAUAAUAAUUGAGUUAGAAAUACUAGUGGUUGGUUGUUAGGCAGCAUCCAGCUUUGACUCACUUAUGCAUUUCCCAGUGAACCUAGCUCAGAAGUUUGCACCAUGAUAUUCAAUAAAUAAUUCUUAAAUAAGAGAGAUUGUUUCUUGUAAUUUUUCCCUAUUUUAGGGAAAAACUUUUUUUUUUUUUCCAUAUCACAUUUUUCUUGAAACAUUGGAGUGCCACGAACAUAUCAUUUGAUGCUCUGUUUGAGUGCCACCAGUGAGUUUCCCGAUGUUUAAGUUUGGCUCGUGGGCAGCCCACCUUCUUCCUCUCCACUUUCUCUUGGGAGCCAUCCUGCUCAUGGAAAGUGUGCUUUCUCCUCUGCUACCUCACACAAGUUUCAAAGGAGCUUGCUCCUGCCAGGGGAGGCUUGGGGUAAGCCAAACAGCAUCAGCUCCCCGGGGGAAGGGAAAUUUCAGGUUUGGAGCUAAGUUCACUUCCAGGGAGUGACAAAGCCUGUUUGAACUUUAAUUCACAGAGUAAAAGAGUUCAAUGUUGGCCAUUAAUGAUUUGGACUUUAACAUGAAGUUGGUACUGAUUACUUUGGGCCAUAAUUUAGAAGGACAGAGUGAUUUAAUCUCUGAACUUUUAAUUUCUCUCUGGAAAAUUAAUACUGGGAGAGGGUUAAAAUCAAAUUGAGAACAUCUUGUUGGUUCUUAGUUAUUAAAGUAUUUGAUCACAUUUUAGAAAUUCUGAUAACUUUGGGCAAGCUGACAGGACAUAGUUUGAGAUGGCGAUAGAACAUAUUGUGAAUUACAGCCUUGGAUACAGAAUAGCAUUGGAACUGAUUUAAUCGAUAAAUUGUUCUGACCCAUUCAGGGCAUUUUGGGGACAGACUCUACAGUUUACUAGUGGCCCCAGGACAUCCUGCAAAAGAGGUGAAAUCAGUAUUGGAGAAGUGGUCUCAUGAAGAUGGGAGCACGACUACUACAAUUGACUGCUGACUUCUCACCCAAGGAAGUAACUGUAUCCCAGCCUAAUCUCAGUGGAUAAGCCCACAGGGUUAAGGAGUAAUCAUCAUGCUCCAUUUCGUUUUUGAGCCAUCUUCAGCCUUUGAGUCCUUAAGCUUUUUGGAGACAGUUUGUGGAGAAGGUCCUCACAACAUUGUGCAACAAGUGUGAAAGAUGUAGUCUCCAUUUACGGCUACUGAAAUAGGCUGAGAGAGGGUGAAGAAACUGAGGCUUGGAGGGUCCGAAUAACUUGCCCAAUAUCACAGAAAAGAUGUUCAAGAAAAAGAACAACUUCAGUGGAAGAAGAAGAAGAUAGGAGCCCAGGUCCUGUGUUUCACCAAGACAGCCGUGCAAAGCAGAUGCUGCCAAAAAGGUGCAAAGUGGUUUGUCAGCUCUUCUGCAUGUUCUAACAAAUUAGACAUGCAUCCCAAAAGGUUUCCUAGACUUUCCAUCACCACCAGUGAAUUCUGAGUGACAAUAGUGUGGAAUUUGGAAGAAUGGAAGAGAAACUGAAGUGGAGAGAUGGUGAAAGAGAAGAAAAAAUGAAGAAAGAUGCUUGCAAAAAUACUGCUGUGGGUCCUGAGAUGAGGAUUCUGGGAGGGCUGAAAUGGAUGCCCCUGACAGCUCCCUUUGAGUUCCUGUUCAUCUGAAGUACACCAGCUUUCUAGAUAUGCUGUCACUUUCCUUCUGCAGAGCCACAGUGGUGUCCUGUCUUCUCAGACCUCUUCUCACCUCAAAUCACUUAGGACUCGGCCACCAGACAGAUUUGGGAUUUCAGAACUUUUCAGAUGUUAGAAAGUUCUUUUCUAAAUGUGAUGAGGAAUUACGGAAUCAUAAAAUGGAAGCAGAGUUAAACUCAGACAUGUGGGCACUCAAGGCAAUUAGGAGCUUUCUGCGAUGAGAAAGGGAUCAGACUGAUCCUUAAGACUUUAUGCAACCCCAGAGUAUUGCAGCCACCUGCAUGCCGAAGGUGUCAAGAGUGUUCUCACUGCUGCCUAUAGGAGGGUCUUCAGCCUCCAGUGAUCCAAAGUACCAGGCUGACCUGUGACUGCUUCGGCCAACUGAAUAGGGAAGAGUGAUGCUGUGCUGUUUCCAGGCCUGUUCUUUAAAAGUACUUGGAAGCUUCUGCCUUGGCCUCUUUGUGCCUGAGUUGCUGUAUAAGAAUCUGACUACCUUGCUGGAGAGACCUUGUGGAGAAGACUUGACCUUAUAUGCAGAGGUAGAGGGGCCCUGGUUAGUCCAGCCAUCUAGCCAUCCUGUCAAAAUAGCAGAUCCAUUUCCUGCCCUUCUUUUAUUCUACUCUGUAUUACAGCCAACCACAUUUCCAGGCUCCCUUGUCCUCUGCUAUCUAGGUGAGUUUUGUCAGUGGAAGACAUUGGUGGAAGGUUGGAUGCUUCUUCUUCUAGCAUCUCUGGUGGUGGCUGUGUUUCCUCCCUGACUCCAGCUCCCACUGGGUGUCAUUCACUUUGUGGUUUUGGUGCUUGCCCAAUGGCCUGGCUUCUGAGCCCUGCUUCUGCAGCCCAGGGAGAGUAGCAGCAGUCUGCUGUUUUUAGUGUCUGGGUUGCCACUCUUUUCCUGUUUGACCUCUCUGGGCUUCCAUGACCCACAUAAGUCAUUAAAUUCCCUCUGUCAAAAAGACUUAGGUUCCUGUUUCAUGACUGGAUGCUGACUGAUAUUGUUAUUACCAUUGUAACUAUUAUCGUUGUUAUUGUUUUUAUUAUUUUAUACUGCCAAUGCCUGUUUAAAUUUACCCAUGUGUUUUCAAAUUACUUUGAUCACCUUGCAUUUUGCAUUCCACUUCUAUACUUUUGGUUAAAGUUUUCUUCUUUUUGCAACAUAUCCCUAGCAUUUAUUUCUAUAAAGGUCUGUGUUUUAGAUAACUUACAGAUUCAAAAUUUUAAAAUAUGGCUUUUUGUCAUUUACUUAAGAUCUGUAUGCAAGAAGAAAUGAAAAAGAUGAACAGGUAGAGUCCAGGACUACCUACCACAGCUCAGGUCAACAUUAAUUUUAUGAUUUAAUUAAUUCCAUAAAUUCUCUUUUCUGUAUGAAUAUAAGGUUCCUCCCUCCCUGUACUCACACAUCUACCUCUUCUAGGAGUUGCCUUGGGAUCCACAAAGAAAUUGAGGUGGUCCAGUACUCAUAAGCCAACAAACUUCAAAGGAGAGUCAAAUGUACAUUUUCAAAAUAAGAGUACUGAAAAGCAUUGAAAUAAACACACAAAAAGAGAUUCAAAUGUACAUCUUAAAAGGAGGAGGAGAUUCUUUGAAGAAGUAGGGGAAUAUGACGUUGAAAGUCUCUGAAGAGGUUGUGAUAGUUGUUUAAGGGAGUAGAACAUUAAAACAUUUUUGUCUGUUCAAUCUUAAUUUUUAAAAAUGAUAGCAUAGAGUUUGGCCAAUUAUGGAGGGGCUGAUUUCAUCACUAUCAAUGAGCAGUAAACUUUCUUGGUCUUUUAUUUGGGGAAUGUAUUUAUUUUACUUUCACUUUUGAAUGAGACUUAGCUGAUGCAAUGGACUGAAUUGUGUUCCUCCAGAAUUUGUAUGUUGAAGCUGUAAGGGCAAAUGUGACUGUAUUUGGAGGCAGGGCCUUUAAAGAGGUAAUUAAGGUUAACUAAGGUCAUAAAGAUGGGGCCUAACCCAAUAUCACUGUCCUUAUAAGAAGAGACACCCGGGAUGCAUUUGCACAGAGAAAAGGCCCCAGGAAGACACUGCAAGAAGAGGGUGCUCUUCAAGUCAGGGAGAAACCAAACCUACUAACACUUUGAUCUUUGACUUCUGGGCUCCGUAACUGUGAAAAAUAAGCUUCUGUUGUUUAAGCCACCUAAUUUGAGGUAUUUUGUUAUGGCAGCCCUAGAAAACUAAAUACAGCUGGGUAUAGAAUUCUAGGUUGAUGAUUUUGCUUUUAUAGUAUUUUUAUAAUAUUUUGAGAUGUGUGUCUUUGAAGUUCUGCAGUUGCAUUAUAUUGUGGCUUGCUUUGGAUUUGUUACAUUUAAGCUUUAUUUAUCCUUCCUGGAAUUCAUUACAGUUUUUGAACUUCAGGAUUCAAGUGUUUUAAUCAUUGAUGAAAACAUUUCAACCAUUAUCUCUUCAAGUAUUGCCUGUCUUAUUUUCCUCUAUUUCGCAUUCUUGGAAUUAAAUCUGUUGGUUCUCCUUUUCCGUCUUCCAUGUCCCUUAAUCUUCCAUAUUUUCCAGAUCUUUAUAUCUCUGUGCCUAUUGAGUAAUGUCUAAAAUCUGUUUUCCAGUUUAUAAAUUAUCUUGCUAUAUCAAAUCUGCUAUUUAACCUACUCAUUUAAGUUUUCAAUUUCCUUGACAUAUACCUAUGUGAAUGGGUGGGUUUUUACUUAGACUACCUUUUCAUGUAGAAUAUGUAGACUACCUUUUCAUGUAGAACCUAGCUUCUAUGCAAGGUUCUCAAUUCCAAUUUCCUGUCCACUUGGGCCCAGUGCUUACCUCAUGUUUCCACAUGAGCGUGAAAUCACAAGCCCUUGGGUGAACAGAAUCAGUAAUCACUGGUCGGGUGCAGUGGCUCAUGCCUGUAAUCCCAGCACUUUGGGAGGCUGAGGUAGGCGGAUCAUGAGGUCAGGAGUUUGAGACCAGCUUGGCCAACAUGGUGAAAUCCUGUCUCUACUAAAAAUACAAAAAAAAAAAAAAAGUAAAUAAAUAAAAUUAGCUGAGCAUGGUGGCAUGCGCCUGUAAUCCCAGCUACUUGGGAGGCUGAGGCAAGAGAAUUGCUUGAACCCAGCAGGUGGAGAUUGCAAUGAGCCGAGAUCACCCCACUGCACUCCAGCCUGGGUGACAGAGCGAGACUCCAUCUCAAAAAAAUUAAUAAAUAAUAAUAAUAGUCACCCUUCCACCUCCAUAGCACAGCUACGUCAUGAACUGACACCUUAAAACUUUGUUCUGUUUUCAAUUAUCUCUUGGUUUCUGAUGCCUGGGUAUUUCUUUUUCUUUCUUGAGAGCUUAAGCAUGAAUAUAAAACAUUUCAAAUUUUAUAUUUUAUCCAGUAUUUCUAGCUUUUUAAUAGUGAGAUUUAUCUUACUCUCCCAUUUUAUUAAAACAGAAAGUCUUGAGUAACAUUUUAAUACUGAGAAAAAAAGCCUCAUUAUUAGUUUUAGAAAAAGAGAGACAAUCUGUGUUGUUCUGGAACCAAGACAAAGUUCUAGAAGAUUCUCUCUUGAUCCUUAAACAGCAUAGAAAAACCAGGUAAGUUGACUAUGUUCACGUUUAGGAGUAUGAUGGCCAAUGGAUCCAAAACCUAUCCUAUAUCUACAUGUUGGUGGCCACAUUAAUCUGACAUCUGACAGCAAGAGCGAUGAUUGGGUUCACUGGAAAUCUUUGUGAAGUACGAGUGAAGUCCUUGUGAAGUCAGAGUUUCCUCUUCAUGCCUCUACUCCUAUGCAGUUUGACCUCUCAGUGUGCAGCUGGUGAUAGAUGGAAACCCUUGUUCAUAAGCUUUGUGGCACUGUCGGCAGGAUGAGGGGACUUCUGGAUCCUCACUGGUCACUGUGGCAGAGUGGUUGGUGUUGUCUGCUCCCUAGACAGGAACCCACUGAAGAAUCUGACAUUUUUUGAUAUGCUGGCAUUCAUUGUUACAGCCCAUCAUCCCAGCCAUCAAUCCAGGACAUGGGGUCUGUGCCCACGGUGGGAAGGAGGAGGGGGAAGCUGGCUUUGUUCUGACGUUGGGCUUCUUCUGCUCCACCAGUACUUUCUGUGGGGGAAAUAGGUAAAGAAAUGGCUGUUCAGAUGAGAAGAUGUGUCAGUAAACUUUUGCUACAGUGAUGCUGCAAAACAAAUCACUGGUGACUUUCAGUGGCACACAGCAAUAAACAUUUAUUUAGCUCAGGGAUUGACAAUCUUUUUUUUUUUUUAAAGGGCCAAAUAGUAAAUAUUUUAGGUGUUUCAGGCCAUACAGUCUCUGAACUCUGAACUUGUAGCACAACAGUAGCCUUAGAUGCUAUGCAAAUGGAGGAGCAUGACUGUGUUCCAAUAAAACUUUAUUUAUGGACACUAAAAUUGGAAUUUCAUGGAAUUUUUAUAUGUUAAGAAAUAUUAUACUUUGAUUUUUU